rnacentral:rRNA from 1 species
CACUUGGAAACAGGUGCUAAUACCGCAUAACCAUAGUUACCGCAUGGUAACUAUGUAAAAGGUGGCUAUGCUACCGCUUUUGGAUGGGCCCGCGGCGCAUUAGCUAGUUGGUGGGGUAAAGGCUUACCAAGGCAAUGAUGCGUAGCCGAACUGAGAGGUUGAUCGGCCACAUUGGGACUGAGACACGGCCCAAACUCCUACGGGAGGCAGCAGUAGGGAAUCUUCCACAAUGGGCGAAAGCCUGAUGGAGCAACGCCGCGUGGGUGAAGAAGGUCUUCGGAUCGUAAAACCCUGUUGUUAGAGAAGAAAGUGCGUGAGAGUAACUGUUCACGUUUCGACGGUAUCUAACCAGAAAGCCACGGCUAACUACGUGCCAGCAGCCGCGGUAAUACGUAGGUGGCAAGCGUUAUCCGGAUUUAUUGGGCGUAAAGGGAACGCAGGCGGUCUUUUAAGUCUGAUGUGAAAGCCUUCGGCUUAACCGGAGUAGUGCAUUGGAAACUGGGAGACUUGAGUGCAGAAGAGGAGAGUGGAACUCCAUGUGUAGCGGUGAAAUGCGUAGAUAUAUGGAAGAACACCAGUGGCGAAAGCGGCUCUCUGGUCUGUAACUGACGCUGAGGUUCGAAAGCGUGGGUAGCAAACAGGAUUAGAUACCCUGGUA